GGACCUUCUCGGCUCUCUGAGCUAAGAUCAUAUGUAGUAUCUGUUCUUUGCAGUGUAAUUUCUGCAACGGUCUCUAAACUGAGACCAAUGAAAUUACCUGUAUUUUUCACCUCCGGGCGGGUGCCGUGAGCUUGCUCAAGCCCGUCCACGGGUCGGCCUCGUAUUGCAAUGCCUCGAAGAUUGGCCCAUUAAUA
rnacentral:snRNA from 1 species